rnacentral:rRNA from 1 species
UACGGAGGGAGCUAGCGUUAUUCGGAAUUACUGGGCGUAAAGCGCACGUAGGCGGCUAUCCAAGUCAGAGGUGAAAGCCUGGAGCUCAACUCCAGAACUGCCUUUGAAACUAGAUGGCUUGAAUCCAGGAAGAGGUGAGUGGAAUUCCGAAGUGUAGAGGUGAAAUUCGUAGAUAUUCGGAAGAACACCAGUGGCGAAGGGCGGC